CCGAGUUUACAACUCCCAAACCCAAUGUGAACCUUACCUAUCGUUGCUUCGGCGGGACCGCCCCGGCGCCGACUCAGGCCCGGACCCAGGCGCCCGCCGGAGGCCCGAAACUCUUGCUGCUGUCAAGUUUUCUCCUCUGAUUGCACAAAAACAAAAUAAAUCA
rnacentral:misc_RNA from 1 species